UACCGAGUGCGGGCCCCUCGGGGCCCAACCUCCCACCCGUGUUGCCCGAACCUAUGUUGCCUCGGCGGGCCCCGCGCCCGCCGACGGCCCCCCUGAACGCUGUCUGAAGUUGCAGUCUGAGACCUAUAACGAAAUUAGUUAAAACUUUCAACAACGGAUCUCUUGGUUCCGGCAUCGAUGAAGAACGCAGCGAAAUGCGAUAACUAAUGUGAAUUGCAGAAUUCAGUGAAUCAUCGAGUCUUUGAACGCACAUUGCGCCCUCUGGUAUUCCGGAGGGCAUGCCUGUCCGAGCGUCAUUGCUGCCCUCAAGCCCGGCUUGUGUGUUGGGCCCCGUCCCCCCCGCCGGGGGGACGGGCCCGAAAGGCAGCGGCGGCACCGCGUCCGGUCCUCGAGCGUAUGGGGCUUCGUCACCCGCUCUAGUAGGCCCGGCCGGCGCCAGCCGACCCCCAACCUUUAAUUAUCUCAGGUUGACCUCGGAUCAGGUAGGGAUACCCGCUGAACUUAAGCAUAUCAAUAAGCGGAGGAAAAGAAACCAACCGGGAUUGCCCUAGUAACGGCGAGUGAAGCGGCAAGAGCUCAAAUUUGAAAGCUGGCCCCCUCGGGGUCCGCAUUGUAAUUUGCAGAGGAUGCUUCGGGAACGGCCCCCAUCUAAGUGCCCUGGAACGGGCCGUCAUAGAGGGUGAGAAUCCCGUCUGGGAUGGGGUGGCCGCGCCCGUGUGAAGCUCCUUCGACGAGUCGAGUUGUUUGGGAAUGCAGCUCUAAUUGGGUGGUAAAUUUCAUCUAAAGCUAAAUAUUGGCCGGAGACCGAUAGCGCACAAGUAGAGUGAUCGAAAGAUGAAAAGCACUUUGAAAAGAGAGUUAAACAGCACGUGAAAUUGUUGAAAGGGAAGCGCUUGCGACCAGACUCGCCCGCGGGGUUCAGCCGGCACUCGUGCCGGUGUACUUCCCCGCGGGCGGGCCAGCGUCGGUUUGGGCGGCCGGUCAAAGGCCUCUGGAAGGUAA
rnacentral:rRNA from 1 species